AACAAAAGAUGACAAUGUUUCGGUCCCAUAUGAUCACCUGAUUACCUAAUUGAGAUCAGCUGAUGUU
ensembl:snoRNA SNORD73 Small nucleolar RNA SNORD73